rnacentral:rRNA from 1 species
GACGAACGCUGGCGGCGUGCCUAAUACAUGCAAGUCGAACGCAGUGGGGACGGGUGAGUAACACGUGGGUAACCUCCCAUCUGAGGGGAUAACACUUGGAAACAGGUGCUAACCCGAUACUGAUUGAUCGACCCGCGGUGCAUUAGCUAGUUGGUGAGGGAACGUCUCACCAAGGCCACGAUGCAUAGCAGACCUGAGAUGGUGAUACGGCCCACUGGGACGGGAACACGGCCCAGAAUCCUACGGGAGGCAGAAGUAGGGAAUCUGCGUAAAUGGACGAAAGUCUGACCGAGCAACGCCGCGUGAGUGAAGACGGCCUUCGGGUUGUAAAGCUCUGUUAAUCGGGACGCGGUACCGGAAUAGAAAGCCACGGCUAACUACGUGCCAGCAGCCGCGGUAAUUC